rnacentral:misc_RNA from 1 species
GAAAUGCGAUAAGUAAUGUGAAUUGCAGAAUUCAGUGAAUCAUCGAAUCUUUGAACGCACCUUGCGCUCCUUGGUAUUCCUUGGAGUAUGCCUGUUUGAGUAUCAUGAAAUCUUCAAAGUAAAUCUUUUGUUAACUCAAUUGGUUUCUACUUUGGUAUUGGAGGUCUUUGCAGCUUCACACCUGCUCCUCUUUGUUCAUUAGCUGGAUCUCAGUGUUAUGCUUGGUUCCACUCGGCGUGAUAAGUUAUCUAUCGCUGAGGACACUGUAAAAGGUGGCCAAGGUAAAUGCAGAUGAACCGCUUCUAAUAGUCCAUUGACUUGGACAAUACUUUUAUGAUCUGAUCUCAAAUCAGGUAGGACUACCCGCUGAACUUAAGC